UACAGAGACUGCAAGCGUUAUUCGGAUUCACUGGGCGUAAAGGGUGCGCAGGCGGUUGGGUGUGUCAGAUGUGAAAUCCCGAGGCUCAACCUCGGAACUGCGUCUGAAACUACUCGACUAGAGUACUGGAGAGGGUAACGGAAUUCACGGUGUAGCAGUGAAAUGCGUAGAUAUCGUGAGGAACACCAGAGGCGAAGGCGGUUACCUGGACAGUUACUGACGCUCAGGCACGAAAGCAUGGGGAGCAAAGGG
rnacentral:rRNA from 1 species